GCUAGGUAACAGGGGCAUAGGGUGAAAGAAACUUUGCCCAUUGUUUCUUGCCGGCGCCUGGGAUUGAACCCAGGACACAGGAUCACAAGUCCAGUGUGCCGUCUGCUCGGCCGACCGGCUCCCCUACUCCCUACUAUUGACACUCCCUGGAUCAGGAUGAUGCACAUCAGCUGCAGCAGUAAAUGAUUGCUGGACCAUCAGCUGGACACCUGGUUGUUUCUCUGGGAUGUUGUGGAUUGUGACUGUUGAUGGCUGGUUGUUACUUAAGCGUCAGAUUGGUCCUGAUAUUUGGCACCUGACUUGGCAGCUUUAUUCAAGUGAAGGCUUUUUGACAUGAUUAAAGAGCCUGUGUGCUCCAGAAAGUACUCCCUCCCUCCAGAAAGGUCCCUCCACGAGUUGUCCUCAAGACUGGCCAGAGUCAAGACUCGACUUGUGAAAGCUUGGUCUGACACUUGUUCUGUUCAAAAGUAAAAUAAAAAGUCCCUAAUGUCA